UGAUUGACUAUUUACCAGUGAGUUGAGCCCAGCGCAGCUCAUCGACUCAUGAGGACACUACACUUCGGAAGAAUUGCCGUGGAUGAUCAUAAAGUGCAAUGGACCAUUCUGUCGAGAGAGCAAUUUGGCAGCGGCGACGGCGCGGAAAGCACGUCGGAUAACCUCUGCUUUGUUUUACAGGUCAUAUAAACUGAACAGCAGGAAUGUUUGUCCAACUGUUAACCAUUGUGUUAUUUGCGCGUCUGGCAAGUGGCCAUUAUCAGACAUCUGUAUUCACAAAAUCAUUCACAGUUCAGAAUGUGCAG